CAGUAGUCACGUAGUUUGAUCCUGGCUCAGAACGAACGCUGGCGGCAUGCCUAACACAUGCAAGUCGAACGAGACCUUCGGGUCUAGUGGCGCACGGGUGCGUAACACGUGGGAAUUUGCCUCGGGGUAUGGAAUAACUCAGGGAAACUUGAGCUAAUACCAUAUAAUGUCUUCGGACCAAAGAUUUAUCGCCCUGAGAUAAGCCCGCGUAGGAUUAGCUAGUUGGUGAGGUAAAGGCUCACCAAGGCGACGAUCCUUAGCUGGUCUGAGAGGAUGAUCAGCCACACUGGGACUGAGACACGGCCCAGACUCCUACGGGAGGCAGCAGUGGGGAAUAUUGGACAAUGGGCGAAAGCCUGAUCCAGCAAUGCCGCGUGAGUGAUGAAGGCCUUCGGGUUGUAAAGCUCUUUUACUCGGGACGAUAAUGACGGUACCGAGAGAAUAAGCCCCGGCUAACUCCGUG
rnacentral:rRNA from 1 species